GACGAACGCUGGCGGCGUGCUUAACACGUGCAAGUCGAACGGAAAGGCCCUGCUUUUGUGGGGUGCUCGAGUGGCGAACGGGUGAGUAACACGUGAGUAACCUGCCCUUGACUUUGGGAUAACUUCAGGAAACUGGGGCUAAUACCGGAUAGGAGCUCCUGCUGCAUGGUGGGGGUUGGAAAGUUUCGGCGGUUGGGGAUGGACUCGCGGCUUAUCAGCUUGUUGGUGGGGUAGUGGCUUACCAAGGCUUUGACGGGUAGCCGGCCUGAGAGGGUGACCGGCCACAUUGGGACUGAGAUACGGCCCAGACUCCUACGGGAGGCAGCAGUGGGGAAUAUUGCACAAUGGGCGGAAGCCUGAUGCAGCAACGCCGCGUGCGGGAUGACGGCCUUCGGGUUGUAAACCGCUUUCGCCUGUGACGAAGCGUGAGUGACGGUAAUGGGUAAAGAAGCACCGGCUAACUACGUGCCAGCAGCCGCGGUGAUACGUAGGGUGCGAGCGUUGUCCGGAUUUAUUGGGCGUAAAGGGCUCGUAGGUGGUUGAUCGCGUCGGAAGUGUAAUCUUGGGGCUUAACCCUGAGCGUGCUUUCGAUACGGGUUGACUUGAGGAAGGUAGGGGAGAAUGGAAUUCCUGGUGGAGCGGUGGAAUGCGCAGAUAUCAGGAGGAACACCAGUGGCGAAGGCGGUUCUCUGGGCCUUUCCUGACGCUGAGGAGCGAAAGCGUGGGGAGCGAACAGGCUUAGACACCCUGGUAGUCCACGCUGUAAACGGUGGGUACUAGGUGUGGGGUCCAUUCCACGGGUUCCGUGCCGUAGCUAACGCUUUAAGUACCCCGCCUGGGGAGUACGGCCGCAAGGCUAAAACUCAAAGGAAUUGACGGGGCCCCGCACAAGCGGCGGAGCAUGCGGAUUAAUUCGAUGCAACGCGUAGAACCUUACCUGGGUUUGACAUGGAUCGGGAGCGCUCAGAGAUGGGUGUGCCUCUUUUGGGGUCGGUUCACAGGUGGUGCAUGGCUGUCGUCAGCUCGUGUCGUGAGAUGUUGGGUUAAGUCCCGCAACGAGCGCAACCCUUGUUCACUGUUGCCAGCACGUUAUGGUGGGGACUCAGUGGAGACCGCCGGGGUCAACUCGGAGGAAGGUGGGGAUGACGUCAAGUCAUCAUGCCCCUUAUGUCCAGGGCUUCACGCAUGCUACAAUGGCUGGUACAGAGAGUGGCGAGCCUGUGAGGGUGAGCGAAUCUCGGAAAGCCGGUCUCAGUUCGGAUUGGGGUCUGCAACUCGACCUCAUGAAGUCGGAGUCGCUAGUAAUCGCAGAUCAGCAACGCUGCGGUGAAUACGUUCCCGGG
rnacentral:rRNA from 1 species